rnacentral:lncRNA from 1 species
AUUGGUGAAAUUAACAGACCCCUUUCAUGGGCAGGUAUCUAGAGGGGCCAGUUGGAAAAUUGGCCCUAACCUACCACUUGACAGAAUUAUAUUUGGAGCUGAUUUAGGUCCUUGUAUGGCAUGGUAAUCUUUUUUUUUUAAUUUUUUUUCUUAUUUAUUAUACAAGUUUCAGAUGUACAGCACUAUAGUCUGACAUCUCUGUUAGAAUGGUAAUCUUGAUGUUGUCUUUCUCCCUGGCGUAAUAGCAAUGACAGGCAAUGGGAACAUCUGAGCAGACUGUGAGAAGGGCGGUGUGGAAUUCUCAAAGCACUCAAGCUGUCAAUGCUGUUAGGAAAUCUGAAAUCCAAUGUUUUUAAGCUCAGCUGAGUCUUUUGUUGACAUAACUAAAUGUUUAGGGUAACAGCGUUUCUGCUUCUCUUGUGUAUAUUUUUAAAAUCCUGUGUACUAGAAACAACAUAUGAAUAAUUAAUGAGCGAUUUUUAUUGUAUCUCAUGAAACUGUAAUGAUGCUAGGUUUGUUGCAUGAUCCAGAUAAUGUGGUGGUAUUAGCCGUGCAGUUCAACUGUAAACUGUGAUGUUCCCUUUUCAAAGUUUAAUGAGCUCUUGCUGUGACAAAGGGCCACGUUAGGCCACUUAAAGAAAAUUCAUUUUUUUAAGGUAAUUUUAAGAUAUUGAAGCAAACAUUAAAGAAUGAUGUAAUGAUAGAUUCCAUGAUUUGGAUAUUUAUCUGAUUCAGGUGGUUGGCACAUGUGUCUGUUUCAGAGAGAAACACAUUUAUUUCUCCUUCUUAUAUUAAUGAUAUAAAUCCUCUCUUAUAUCAAUGAUUUUACAAAGUUAUGGAUCACUAAUAACCCCUGGGUUCUUGAGUUGGGUUUUCUUAUUUUUUAUUUUCACAUAAAUGGAUUUGAUUCUUUUCCUCAUUUGCAUGGGCAACUUUUCCCUUGUUUCUUGUUUUAGUAAUAAAGGAAAUUGUUUUUCCCCCUCACUUUCUUCUUUAUUAGCAUCCAUCCAACCCCUCUCCCUGCUUGAUAUCAGUGUCAUGAAGAAACCUUUGCUUCUGAGGUUUAGGUAGAAUUGCUAAGAAACAAAAUAAAAGAAUCCUCUCCUUUUUGUACAAAAUACAAACCUUUGUCUGCAAUGGAAAAGACCUCUCACAAAGCAGGUUACCCAGAUUCUCUGGAUCUCUGCGCUGAUUUGGGCAUUGUAAAGCAACAGGUUGUUUUUCUUUUUCUUUUUUUGGUCUUUUUGUCUUUUUAGGGCUGCACCCGAAGCAUAUGGAAGUUCCCAGGCUAGGGGUCCAAUCAGAACUACAGCUUCCAGCCUCUACCACAGCCACAGCAACACCAGAUCCAAGCUUCAUCUGUGACCUACACCACAGUUCACGGCAACGCCAGAUCCUUAACCCACUGAUUGAGGCCAAGGAUGGAACUCGUGUGCUCAUGGAUGCUAGUCAGUUUCAUUAACUGCUGAGCAACUACGGGAACUCUACAACAGGUUGGUUUUGACCACUGCAGAGAUCUCAAAUGAUCUUUUCAACAACUUCAGAAUGUUUUCUCUAAGAAUGAGUAAGUGAAAUAAAAAGGCCAAUCAAAGAGGCAGGCUUCAGGGCUUUGGAGCUGUGUCCCCUGGAAAUAGAUGAUUAUCUUCCCAGCAGCUUCCAAAAGGCCAGAGACGGGAGAGGGAGGUAGUUAACAUGUCCCCUCAACACACAGUAAUUAAUUCUACACUGAAGUACAUGGCACCUCUGGAGACAACUGGCAAUGGCCCGUUUAAUCAUGGAAAACUAUGGGCAGUGGGACUGACCAAUUUAGCAGAAGAACUGGGUUCUGUUGAUAUUUGUUUUCUGGGGAAUUAUGAUUUCAAUAUUCUGAGGUUCUACCAAAGGCAGUACUAGUUUCUUUUAUGUCCCUUUGGUACCUGGGCACCUCAGCAGUCCUGGAUACCUGGAUUUAUGGACCCCUAAAAAUAACACUAUUUCUGUGAUGAAUCAAAUCAUGAUGUAUAGUCAGGUAUUUUUUUUCUCUCUUUCUCAAAAAAAAUUUGAUAUUUUUAUUUUAAUUUUCUUUCUGAUUAGUGUAUAGUAUAAAUAGCACUACUGUUUGUUUAUAUCUAUCUUAUUUUCACAUAUCUCAAUAAAGUCUCUGAACUGUUUGAGAUUUUUUAUAUUUCUUAAAUGUUCCAUAUAUAUACAAUUUCAGGAAUAAUUAUUGUUUUUAAAUAGUAUUUUCCAAUAUUUGUCUAUGUAUUUCAUUUUUACAUCUUAUUGCAUCAGCUAGCUACUCUAAAACAAUGUUGAAAAGUGUAGCAAUGAUAGGGGACAUCCUUAUUUAUGACUUCAAUAUGAAUACUUUCUCAUGCUUAGGAAGCUUCUGCUGAUAUUUUUUUUAUUUAAAGUCAAGAAUUCUUGCAAAAAUGUAGGAAAUGAUUUUCUGCAGAUAAUGAUAUAAUCAUAUAUUUUUAUUUUAAUUUGUUAAUAUAAAUUGAUAGAUUUUUUUAAGGUUGCCUCAUCCUUAUACAACUAAAAUAAACUAUACUUGGUCAUAGUUUAUUAUAAGACUGAAUACAAUGGGCUAACGUUCUAUUUAAUACAUUUACUUUUAUAAAUAAAAUUAGAGUUCCUUUUUCUAUGCUAGGUCUAUUAGACUUCAGUAUUAGGAUAUACUGUCUUUACACUGUCUUUAUAAUACAGUUAAUUAUAAAGCUUUUUACUUUUUUUCUUUUUCUGAGACAGUUUAAAUUAAAUAAUAAUUAUCACUUAAAAUUUGGUGAAAUUCAACCGUUUCUUUGCUUACUUUAAAAUAGGCUGUAGCAAUAUUUUCAUUUUGUUUUCUCCAGUCUUAUUACUUUUAGUCAUCUAUAUUUUGCUUGAAAAGUGUUCAGUUCCCAAGGCAAUGUCAGUGAAUUGUACAUAAUCUUCUCAUUUUUUCAAAUUAUUUCCCUAUUCAUUGUCUUAUUUCUUUGUCUCCGUAUUAUGUAUUUUCACUUUUUUUCUUUCCUCAGGAUGCCAGUGUUGCUUACUUUGUUUGUCUUUUUGAAUAACCAGCUUUCAGUGUAAUUGCUCCUUUGUUUGCUUGCUUGGUUUUUUAUUCUGAUGUUGUCCCUCUGUCUGGAACAUCUACCCUAAGAUAUUCACAAGGCGUACCCUCCCUCAUUCUGAGAGUCUUAGCUCAAUGCCUCAGAGGAAACUUUGCUGAUCCCCCUUCCUCCACAUGCACAUCUGUUGUAUUACCCUGUUUUAAAUUCCUUUGUUUGUUUGUUUGCUUGUUUGAGUAUGCUCACAGAAUGUGGAAGUUCCCUGGGCCCUGGUCAAACCCGCACCACUGCAGGGACCUGAGCUACUGCAGUGGCAACACCAGAUUCUUAAUUCACUAUGCCACUGAGAACUCCAACAGUCUUUACAAUUUGUGUCACUAUCUGAAAUCACUUAUUUAUUUUUAAAAUUUCCAAUAGACUUUAUUUGUUAGCACCGUUUUAGAUUUACAGAAAAACAUGAGAAACUAGCACAAAGAAUUCCCAUAUACUCCACAUCCAGUUUCCUCCUCUAGUUGGUCUCAAUUAAUAAGGUAUUAUUAUUAACUAAAGAUCAUCCUUGAUUCACAUUUCCUUAGUUUGACCUAAUGUUCUUUUUCUGUUGCAAGAUCCCAUCCAGGAUACUGCACUGACCUUUGGUUGUUUGCCAUGACUCUUUAGGACCCCUUUCAGCUACCACAGUUUCUCAGUCUUUCCUUGUUUUUGGUAACUUUGCAGAGUACCAGUCAGGUAAUUUGUAGGAUCCUCUUCUCUUGAAACUUGUCUGAUUUUUCUCUCAUGAUGACACUGGGGUUAUGGCAUUUGGGGAGGAACCCCAGAGUGGUGAUGGGCCAUUUUCACCACAUCAUAUCAAAGCUACACACUAUCAACAGGAUUUAUCACUGUUGAUGUUCUUCUUGAUAAUGUUGCUGAUUAGUGUUUUCCCUUUUCCGCAAAGUAAAGUUUCCAUAUUGUACUUAAAGAGUAGGGAGUUAUGCUCCUUCUCACUGAGGAUGGAAUAUGUACAUCAGUUAUUCAUCUAUUAAGUUUUUUGAUCUAUUUAUUAUUGUGUAUCCUUUCCUGCCACAUCCACUGAAUCCAGAGGAGUAGCAAAAACCAG